rnacentral:tmRNA from 1 species
GGGGGCGACUGGUUUCGACGGGGUCUGAUGGUCCCCGGGGAGCAGGCAGGGUGGCAACCUUAACAGCCGUUAACAACACUUCCCGAAGCUGAAGUCGCUCUCGCUGCCUAAUUAAAAGGCAGCGCGCCUCAGGGAGGUUCGCCUCUGGCUGACCUGAAGGCGUCAGAGAACAGAGGCUCUGGAGACCCCGACGCACGGUGAGGGGUUUCCGAGAAAGGCAUCCGUGCUCCCCUCGGAGAGCCUGCCCGUGGGCAACCCGAGGGCAGAACUAAACACGGGCUAAGCCUGUAGAGCCCCGGACAGGACCAUCGUCCUCGGACGCGGGUUCGAUUCCCGCCGCCUCCACCA